rnacentral:rRNA from 1 species
UCGGGAAUUUUGGGCAAUGGGGGAAACCCUGACCCAGCGACGCCGCGUGUGCGAUGAAGGCCUUUGGGUCGUAAAGCACUGUCGACCGGGACGAAAACUCACGGACUAAUACUUCGUGAGUCUGACGGUACUGGUAAAGGAAGCACCGGCUAACUCUGUGCCAGCAGCCGCGGUAAUACAGAGGGUGCAAGCGUUAAUCGGAAUUACUGGGCGUAAAGCGCACGUAGGCGGUUUUUAAGUCAGAUGUGAAAGCCCCGGGCUCAACCUGGGAAUUGCAUUUGAAACUGGAAAACUAGAGUGUGUGAGAGGGGGGUAGAAUUCCAAGUGUAGCGGUGAAAUGCGUAGAGAUUUGGAGGAAUACCAGUGGCGAAGGCGGCCCCCUGGCACAACACUGACGCUCAGGUGCGAAAGCGUGGGGAGCAAACAGGAUUAGAUACCCCAGUAGUCCCUGAGCGGGCUGGCAAGGCGCAU